rnacentral:rRNA from 1 species
CCAGACUCCUACGGGAGGCAGCAGUGAGGAAUAUUGGUCAAUGGGCGAGAGCCUGAACCAGCCAAGUCGCGUGAGGGAGUACUGCCCUAUGGGUUGUAAACCUCUUUUGUCGGGGAGCAAAAGCCGGACGUGUCCGUCUGUGAGAGUACCCGAAGAAAAAGCAUCGGCUAACUCCGUGCCAGCAGCCGCGGUAAUACGGAGGAUGCGAGCGUUAUCCGGAUUUAUUGGGUUUAAAGGGAGCGUAGGUGGAUUGUUAAGUCAGUUGUGAAAGUUUGCGGCUCAACCGUAAAAUUGCAGUUGAAACUGGCAGUCUUGAGUACAGUAGAGGUGGGCGGAAUUCGUGGUGUAGCGGUGAAAUGCUUAGAUAUCGCGAAGAACCCCGAUUGCGAAGGCAGCCUGCCGCAGCGUUACUGACGCUGAAGCUCGAAAGCGCGGGUAUCGAACAGGAUUAGAUACCCCAGUAAUG